rnacentral:rRNA from 1 species
AGGGUGCAGGGCGGAUGCCUUGGCACCGGGAGCCGAUGAAGGACGUGAUAAGCUGCGAUAAGCUAUGGGGAGUUGCACGUAAACUUUGAUCCAUAGAUUUCCGAAUGAGGAAACUCACCAUGAGUAAUGUCAUGGUAUCUUCGAGUGAAUACAUAGCUCGUUGAGGGGAACUCGGGGAACUGAAACAUCUAAGUACCCGAAGGAAGAGAAAGAAAUUCGAUUCCGCUAGUAGCGGCGAGCGAACGCGGAACAGCCCAAACCUAAGAAGUUCGCUUCUUAGGGGUUGCGGACAUAUCAUCAGGAAGAGGUUAUUACAGACGAAGAGUUUUGGAAAGCUCCGCCAUAGAAGGUAACAGCCCUGUAGUCGAAGUGAGAAGACUUCCGAUAUGAUCCAGAGUACCACGGGACACGUGAAACCCCGUGGGAAGCAGGAGGGACCACCCUCCAAGGCUAAAUACUACCCGGUGACCGAUAGCGCAUAGUACCGUGAGGGAAAGGUGAAAAGAACCCCGGGAGGGGAGUGAAAUAGAACCUGAAACCCUGUACUUACAAACUGUGGAAGCACAUUUCUUGUGUGACCGCGUACUUUUUGUAGAACGGGCCAACGAGUUACGUUAUGCAGCAAGGUUAAGUACUUCAAGUAUGCAGCCGCAGCGAAAGCGAGUUUUAACUGAGCGUUUAGUUGCAUGACGUAGACCCGAAACCGGGUGACCUAUCCAUGAGCAGGUUGAAGCGAAAGUAAAAUUUCGUGGAGGACCGAACCCACGAGCGUUGAAAAGCUCGGGGAUGACUUGUGGAUAGCGGUGAAAUUCCAAUCGAACCCGGAGAUAGCUGGUUCUCCCCGAAAUAGCUUUAGGGCUAGCCUCAGAUUCAGAGAUACGGAGGUAGAGCACUGAAUGUCCUAGGGGGUAUUGCACCUACCGAAGACUAUCAAACUCCGAAUGCCGUCAUCUUUUAUCUGGGAGUCAGACCGUGGGUGAUAAGAUUCACGGUCGAGAGGGCAACAGCCCAGACCGUCGGCUAAGGUCCCCAAAUGUAGGUUAAGUGGUAAAGGAUGUGGGAUUGCACAGACAACCAGGAUGUUGGCUUAGAAGCAGCCACUCAUUCAAAGAGUGCGUAAUAGCUCACUGGUCGAGUGAUCCUGCGCCGAAGAUUUCCGGGGCUAAAACCUACUACCGAAGCCACGGCAUCAUUUAUGAUGGGUAGGGGAGCUUUCUUUACUGGGCAGAAGCAUGACCGUAAGGACAUGUGGACUGUAAAGAAGUGAGAAUGUUGGCAUGAGUAGCGAGAUGUGGGUGAGAAUCCCACAGGCCGUAAACCCAAGGUUUCCAGGGGAAGGUUCGUCCUCCCUGGGUUAGUCGGGACCUAAGCCGAGGCCGAAAGGCGUAGGUGAUGGACAACAGGUUGAAAUUCCUGUACCGCCAAUAAGCGUUUGAGAAAUGGGAUGACACAGUAGGACAGGAUGAGCGUGCUGUUGGUUAUGCACGUCCAAGCACUGAGGCAGUAUCCGGAGGCAAAUCCACGGAUAUAAUGCUGGGGUGUGACGGGGAGCGAAAUUUAGUAGCGAAGCAUCUGCAUUCACACUGUCGAGAAAAGUCUCUAUCGAGUUUAAAGGCGCCCGUACCGCAAACCGACACAGGUGGGUGAGGAGAGUAUCCUAAGGCCAGCGAGAGAACUGUUGUUAAGGAACUCGGCAAAAUGACCCCGUAACUUAGGGAUAAGGGGUGCCAUCGAAAGAUGGCCGCAGAGAAUAGGCCCAAGCGACUGUUUACCAAAAACAUAGGUUUCUGCUAAGUCGCAAGACGAUGUAUAGGAGCUGACGCCUGCCCGGUGCUGGAAGGUUAAGGGGAUCUGUUAGAGCAAUCGAAGCAGUGAACUUAAGCCCCAGUAAACGGCGGCCGUAACUAUAACGGUCCUAAGGUAGCGAAAUUCCUUGUCGGGUAAGUUCCGACCCGCACGAAAGGCGUAACGAUUUGGGCACUGUCUCAACAACAGACUCGGUGAAAUUGUAAUUCCGGUGAAGAUGCCGGAUACCUGCGACAGGACGGAAAGACCCCAUGGAGCUUUACUGUAGCUUGGCAUUGGGUCUUGGUACUACAUGUACAGCAUAGGUGGGAGGCUUUGAUUCCAGGACGCCAGUUUUGGAUGAGCCACCGUUGGGAUACCACCCCUGUAGUACUGGGACUCUAACCAGAGGCCUUGAAUCAGGUCUUGGGACACUGUCAGGCGGGCAGUUUGACUGGGGCGGUCGCCUCCCAAAAGGUAACGGAGGCGCUCAAAGGUUCUCUCAGCACGGUCGGAAAUCGUGCAUAGAGUGUAAAGGCAUAAGAGAGCUUGAUUGCAAGACAUACAGGUCGAGCAAGGACGAAAGUCGGACUUAGUGAUCCGGUGGUUCUGAGUGGAAGGGCCAUCGCUCAACGGAUAAAAGCUACCCUGGGGAUAACAGGCUUAUCUCCCCCAAGAGUCCACAUCGACGGGGAGGUUUGGCACCUCGAUGUCGGCUCAUCACAUCCUGGGGCUGUAGUAGGUCCCAAGGGUUGGGCUGUUCGCCCAUUAAAGUGGUACGCGAGCUGGGUUCAGAACGUCGUGAGACAGUUCGGUCCCUAUCCGUCGCAGGCGUAGGAAAUUUGAGAGGAUCUGCCCUUAGUACGAGAGGACCGGGGUGGACGUACCGCUGGUGUACCAGUUGUCUCGCCAGAGGCAUGGCUGGGUAGCUAUGUACGGAACGGAUAAGCGCUGAAAGCAUCUAAGCGCGAAGCCAGCCUUAAGAUAAGAUUUCCCAUUCU